UACAGGCAUGAGCCACUGCACCCGGCCUUGCCCUUCUUUAUUUUAGUUCUAUAAAAUACUCAAGAUCCACAAAGUUGGCCAAAGCGGUUUUAGGAACUUUAAUGUUUGACAUCAUCCAGAUGAAUUUGGGAGAAAAGAUUUACCAAAGAGGAAUUCAUCAACUGAUUUGCUCAGUUUAUUUGCAUGUAUUCUCUAUAUAGAUCUUUGUUUUCAAAAUUAUUUCAAAGCUUAUUUUUAUCCCUUUUCAAUAGAAUAAAUCAAAGUCUUAUUCAUUACUUGUAAGCUAAUGAAUCUUACUACCUCAUUUCAUGUUUGUUACUAUUUUCAUGUCUCAGUAGCAUUUUUGCUAUUUAAACAGGCAGGCAGGGAUGAGAUGAAAACCAACUCACAUAUGUUCUUCCUACCUUUAAAACUUCUGCCUCAUCCUCCUGAGUAGCUGGGACUACAGGUGCAUGCCACCACACCUGGCUAAUUUUUGUAUUUUUAGUAGAGACGGGGUUUCACCAUAUUGGCCAGACUGGCCUCGAAGUCCUGACCCCGUUGUUGGAGUUCAUAUUUUACAUAUAAAACGAUCACAUAUUUGGAUAACUAUGUAUCAUACAGAAACUUUCAUUUGUUUUGCCAAUUGGAAUUUUAAUUUUUCUGAUUCUCCAUUAACCUUUAGAAGCAGAUGGGUU
rnacentral:lncRNA from 1 species